rnacentral:rRNA from 1 species
AUGAACGCUAGCUACAGGCUUAACACAUGCAAGUCGAGGGGCAGCAUGGUCUUAGCUUGCUAAGGCCGAUGGCGACCGGCGCACGGGUGAGUAACACGUAUCCAACCUGCCGUCUACUCUUGGACAGCCUUCUGAAAGGAAGAUUAAUACAAGAUGGCAUCAUGAGUCCGCAUGUUCACAUGAUUAAAGGUAUUCCGGUAGACGAUGGGGAUGCGUUCCAUUAGAUAGUAGGCGGGGUAACGGCCCACCUAGUCUUCGAUGGAUAGGGGUUCUGAGAGGAAGGUCCCCCACAUUGGAACUGAGACACGGUCCAAACUCCUACGGGAGGCAGCAGUGAGGAAUAUUGGUCAAUGGGCGAGAGCCUGAACCAGCCAAGUAGCGUGAAGGAUGACUGCCCUAUGGGUUGUAAACUUCUUUUAUAAAGGAAUAAAGUCGGGUAUGGAUACCCGUUUGCAUGUACUUUAUGAAUAAGGAUCGGCUAACUCCGUGCCAGCAGCCGCGGUAAUACGGAGGAUCCGAGCGUUAUCCGGAUUUAUUGGGUUUAAAGGGAGCGUAGAUGGAUGUUUAAGUCAGUUGUGAAAGUUUGCGGCUCAACCGUAAAAUUGCAGUUGAUACUGGAUAUCUUGAGUGCAGUUGAGGCAGGCGGAAUUCGUGGUGUAGCGGUGAAAUGCUUAGAUAUCACGAAGAACUCCGAUUGCGAAGGCAGCCUGCUAAGCUGCAACUGACAUUGAGGCUCGAAAGUGUGGGUAUCAAACAGGAUUAGAUACCCUGGUAGUCCACACGGUAAACGAUGAAUACUCGCUGUUUGCGAUAUACGGCAAGCGGCCAAGCGAAAGCGUUAAGUAUUCCACCUGGGGAGUACGCCGGCAACGGUGAAACUCAAAGGAAUUGACGGGGGCCCGCACAAGCGGAGGAACAUGUGGUUUAAUUCGAUGAUACGCGAGGAACCUUACCCGGGCUUAAAUUGCAGAUGAAUUACGGUGAAAGCCGUAAGCCGCAAGGCAUCUGUGAAGGUGCUGCAUGGUUGUCGUCAGCUCGUGCCGUGAGGUGUCGGCUUAAGUGCCAUAACGAGCGCAACCCUUGUUGUCAGUUACUAACAGGUUCCGCUGAGGACUCUGACAAGACUGCCAUCGUAAGAUGUGAGGAAGGUGGGGAUGACGUCAAAUCAGCACGGCCCUUACGUCCGGGGCUACACACGUGUUACAAUGGGGGGGUACAGAGGGCCGCUACCACGCGAGUGGAUGCCAAUCCCCAAAACCUCUCUCAGUUCGGACUGGAGUCUGCAACCCGACUCCACGAAGCUGGAUUCGCUAGUAAUCGCGCGUCAGCCACGGCGCGGUGAAUACGUUCCCGGGCCUUGUACACACCGCCCGUCAAGCCAUGGGAGCCGGGGGUACCUGAAGUGCGUAACCGCGAGGAGCGCCCUAGGGUAAAACUGGUGACUGGGGCU